rnacentral:misc_RNA from 1 species
AACGCACAUUGCGCCCCUUGGUAUUCCAUGGGGCAUGCCUGUUCGAGCGUCAUUUGUACCUUCAAGCUCUGCUUGGUGUUGGGUGUUUGUCGGGUCCCCUGCGAUCCGACUCGCCUUAAAUGUAUUGGCAGCCGGCGUAUUUGGCCUAUGAGCGCAGCACAUUUUGCGAUUGUAGCCGCUAUUCUGGCGUCCAACAAGCCUACAACCAUCACUUUUGACCUCGGAUCAGGUAGGGAUACCCGCUGAACUUAA